GGAGGGAUACCCAAGCGGCCAAAGGGGGCAGGCUGUAAACCUGCUGGCAUUAGCCUUCGGGGGUUCAAAUCCUCCUCCCUCCA
rnacentral:tRNA from 1 species